rnacentral:rRNA from 1 species
CACGAACUGCGCAAACGUUAUUCGGAAUUACUGGGCUUAAAGAGUCCGUAGGCGGCCUGGUAGGUGGGGUGUGAAAUCCCACGGCUCAACCGUGGAAUUGCGCUCCAAACCGCCGGGCUUGAGGGAGAUAGAGGAGGGCGGAACUGAUGGUGGAGCGGUGAAAUGCGUUGAUAUCAUCAGGAACACCGGUGGCGAAAGCGGCUCUCUGGGUCUCUUCUGACGCUGAGGGACGAAAGCUAGGGGAGCGAACGGG